rnacentral:rRNA from 1 species
UGAAUACGAGACGCUAAGGCGUCGAAGUAGUGUAUAUCAGACUUCCAAGAAAAGCUUGCACUGUCAUAGAUAAAAAAUGCCUGUACCAUAACCGACACAGGUGGGUAGGUAGAGUAUACUAAGGGGCGCGAGAUAACUCUCUCUAAGGAACUCGGCAAAAUAACUCCGUAACUUCGGGAGAAGGAGUGCCUUAUUUAUAAGGUUGCAAUAACAAGAUCCAAGCAACUGUUUAUCAAAAACACAGGUCUCCGCUAAGUCGUAAGACGAUGUAUGGGGGCUGACGCCUGCCCAGUGCCAGAAGGUUAAAGAAGUUGGUUAGCAAUUGCGAAGCUGAUAACUGAAGCCCUGGUGAACGGCGGCCGUAACUAUAACGGUCCUAAGGUAGCGAAAUUCCUUGUCGGGUAAGUUCCGACCCGCACGAAAGGCGUAAUGAUUUGGAUACUGUCUCGGAGAGGGGCUCGGUGAAAUAGACUUGUCUGUGAAGAUGCGGACUACCUGCACCAGGACAGAAAGACCCUAUGAAGCUUUACUGUAACUUGAAAUUGAAAUUGGACUUUAUUCGCGCAGCAUAGGUGGGAGGCGUUGAUUAUAAUCUUGCGGGAUUAUUGGAGCCAUCAGUGAGAUACCACUCUUGUAAUGUUAGAUUUCUAACUUUGAAUCAUUAUCUGGUCAAAGAACAGUUUCAGGCGGGCAGUUUGACUGGGGCGGUCGCCUCCUAAAUGGUAACGGAGGCGUACAAAGGUUUCCUCUGAACGGUUAGAAAUCGUAUCUAGAGUGUAAAGGCAUAAGGAAGCUUGACUGUGAGACCUACAAGUCGAGCAGGGACGAAAGUCGGUCUUAGUGAUCUGACGGUACUGAGUGGAAAGGCCGUCACUCAACGGAUAAAAGUUACUCUAAGGAUAACAGGCUGAUCUCCCCCAAGAGUUCACAUCGACGGGGAGGUUUGGCACCUCGAUGUCGGCUCAUCGCAUCCUGGGGCGGUAGUACGUCCCAAGGGUUGGGCUGUUCGCCCAUGAAAGCGGUACGCGAGCUGGGUUCAGAACGUCGUGAGACAGUUCGGUCCAUAUCCGGUGUAGGCGUUAGAAUAUUGAGAGGAGCCUUCUUUAGUAAGAGAGGACCGAGAAGGACAUACCUCUGGUGUACCAGUUAUCGUGCCAACGGUAAACGCUGGGUAGCUAUGUAUGGAGUGGAUAACCGCUGAAAGCAUCUAAGUGGGAAGCCCACCUCAAGAUAAG